rnacentral:rRNA from 1 species
UGCCUGUUUUUACAAAAACAUGGCUCUUUGUUUAUUGAAGUAAAGAGUUUGGCCUGCCCAGUGGUGUAAGCUAAACGGCUGCAACGAGAGUUGUACUAAGGUAGCGUGGUAAGUUGUCCUUUAACUGAGGACUGGAAUGAACGGUUUCAUGGUGGGAAAGCUGUCUUUGAAAAAUUUUAUGAAGUUUUCUUUUGUGUGAAAAGGCUUAACUAUUUGUAAAAGAAGAGAAGACCCUGUCGAGUUUAAUUAUAAUAAGGUAUAUUUAAUAUUGUUUGAAAUUUUGUUGGGGAAACAUAAGCUUAAUUAACAGCUUAUUUUAAUGUAAAGAUCCUUUAGGAGAGAAAUAAGCAAAAACUACCGCAGGGAUAACAGCGCAACUUUUCUUAAAAGAGUUUAUUGAGGGAAGAGUGUGUGACCUCGAUGUUGGAUUAGGAAAACUUUACGGUACAGCAGCUGUAAGAUGUAAGACUGUUCGUUU